rnacentral:rRNA from 1 species
GCAAGGGCUAUGUGUACGCGCAUGACACGCAGGAGAAGCUGUCCGCGAUGACGUGCCUGCCGGAUUCGCUGCAGGGGAAGCGCUACUAUCAGCCGACGGAGCAGGGGAACGAGGGACGGUAUAAGCAGCGGCUGGAGGAGAUUAUAUAUGGAGGGAACCCGCUGAACUGAAACAUCUAAGUAGGCGGAGGAAGAGAAAGAAACAUCGAUUCCGUAAGUAGCGGCGAGCGAACGCGGAAGAGCCCAAACCGUGAUGCGUGCAUCGCGGGGUUCGGACUGCAUAAGGGAUUCAGUAACGGCAGGAGAACGGCUUUGGAACAGCCGGCCAGAGAGGGUGAGAGCCCCGUAUCCGAAGCCAGAGCUGACCCGGCAGGAUCCAGAGUACCACGGGACACGGGAAACCCUGUGGGAACGAGCGGAGACCACUCCGUAAGGCUAAAUACUACUCAGUGACCGAUAGCGUAUAGUACUGUGAAGGAAAGGUGAAAAGAACCCCGGGAGGGGAGUGAAAGAGAACCUGAAACCCUGUGUCUACAAGCUGUGGAAGCACCCUAUGAGUGCAACCGCGUACUUUUUGUAGAACGGUCCGGCGAGUUAUGUGGUGUGGCAAGGUUAAGCACAUAAAGUGUGGAGCCGAAGGGAAACCAAGUCUUAACUGGGCGAAUAAGUCACAUAACAUAGACCCGAAACCGGGUGAUCUAUCCAUGUCCAGGUUGAAGCUGCUGUAAAAGGUGGUGGAGGACCGAACGCACAUCCGUUGAAAAGGGUGGCGAUGAGGUGUGGAUAGGGGAGAAAUUCCAAUCGAACUCGGAGAUAGCUGGUUCUCCUCGAAAUAGUUUUAGGACUAGCCUUGUUUUAUUAGCACAUGGGGGUAGAGCACUGAAUGAGGUAGGGGCCAACAAGGUUACUGAACUCUAUCAAACUACGAAUACCGUGUGUGGAAGAACAGGAGUCAGACUGCGGGAGCUAAGUUCCGUGGUCAAAAGGGAAAGAGCCCAGAUCGUCAAUUAAGGUCCCAAAGAUAUAGUUAAGUGGAAAACGAUGUGAUUUUGCGUAAACAACCAGGAUGUUGGCUUAGAAGCAGCCAUUCAUUCAAAGAGUGCGUAAUAGCUCACUGGUCGAGUGAUUGUGCGCCGAAAAUGUAACGGGGCUAAACUUGACACCGAAGUCUAGGCAGAAGGAAACUUCUGGGUAGGGGAGCAACGUGUACGGGCAGAAGCAGAAGCGGAAGCGACUGUGGACUGUACAGGAGAGAGAAUGCCGGCAUGAGUAGCGAGAGCAAAGUGAGAAUCUUUGCCGUCGAAAGCCUAAGGUUUCCUGAGGAAGGCUCGUCCUCUCAGGGUAAGUCGGGACCUAAGCCGAGGACAACAGUCGUAGGCGAUGGACAAUCGGUUAAUAUUCCGAUACCGCCGAGCAACCGGAUGCAGUGACACAGAAGGAUAGGCAGAGCGUGGCGAUGGUAGACCACGUCCAAGCAGUGAGGCUGUUGUGUAGUGAAGUACGCACAACGUAAGGCUGGGCUGUGAUGGGGAACGAUUACGAUCGGUAAGCUGCUGAAUUCACGCUGGCGAGAAAAGCUGCUACGAAGCGAAGGCGCCCGUACCGCAAACCGACACAGGUAGGCGAGGAGAGAAUCCUAAGACGAGCGGGAGAACCCUUGUUAAGGAACUCGGCAAAAUGACUCCGUAACUUAGGGAGAAGGAGUGCCCAGGAAUGGGCCGCAGAGAAUAGACCCAAGCGACUGUUUACCAAAAACACAGGUCUGUGCGAAGUAGAGAUACGACGUAUACGGGCUGACACCUGCCCAGUGCCGGAAGGUUAAGGGGAAAUGUUAGGGCAACCGAAGCAUGGAACUUAAGCCCCGGUGAACGGCGGCCGUAACUAUAACGGUCCUAAGGUAGCGAAAUUCCUUGUCGGGUAAGUUCCGACCCGCACGAAUGGUGUAACGACUUGUGAGCUGUCUCAACAGGGGGCCCGGUGAAAUUGAAGUAUGGGUGAAGAUGCCCAUUACCCGCGACUGGACGGAAAGACCCCGUAGAGCUUUACUGCAGCCUGAUAUUGAGUUUCGGUAACUGAUGCACAGGAUAGGUGGGAGUCUGAGAGACAUGGGUUUCGGCUCGUGUGGAGACGGUGUUGGGAUACCACUCUUCGGUUACUGAAAUUCUAACAUAGCUCUGUGAAACCAGAGGAUGGACAGUGUCAGGUGGACAGUUUGACUGGGGCGGUCGCCUCCGAAAGAGUAACGGAGGCGCCCAAAGGUACCCUCAGAAUGGAUGGAAACCAUUCGAAGAGCGCAAAGGCAGAAGGGUGCCUGACUGCGAGAUUGACAAAUCGAGCAGAGACGAAAGUCGGGCUUAGUGAUCCGGCGGUAUUGAGUGGAAAAGCCGUCGCUUAACGGAUAAAAGCUACCUCGGGGAUAACAGGCUGAUCUCCCCCAAGAGUCCACAUCGACGGGGAGGUUUGGCAUAAGAAUUCCGUCAUGAUCUUGUCGGCCAUUGCUUCAUCAAUGAAACGUCCCGGCAUUACCAGUACGUUGGCAUUGUUGUGCUGACGGGCCAGAUGAGCGAUUUCCGGAAUCCAGCAAAGUGCGGCACGGAUACCCUGGUGUUUGUUCAGGGUGAUACCGAUUCCUUCACCGCUUCCGCAGAUGGCAAUUCCCGGAUAGCAUUCUCCGUUUUCUACUGCCAAAGCCAGCGGGUGAGCAAAGUCGGGAUAGUCACAACUGUCGGUUGUGUAAGUUCCAAAAUCCUUGUAUUCCCAUCCUUUGGCUUC